UUCCCCUAGCAGCCUUCAGAUGAAGUACAGAACUCUUAGCUCCUGCACCACGCCUGCCUGGACACUGCCAUGUUCCCGCCUUGAUGAUAAUGGACUGAACCUCUGAACUGUAUCACUUGGCUGAGGAUGCUGAGACUCCUGAAGGGGGGAUGUGGGAGAAGAUGCAUCACUUGGGAUGGUUACCAUCAUCCAUCUACUCAUGCCAUCCCACAAGGAGAGCAAGAGGACCUCGGAUGAUGUCAUGCCUCGCUUUCCACUUGGUCUGGGCGGCUCUUCUGUCUGAGCUUGUGUCACCCCAGCUCUCCUGGAGCGAGUGGAAUGUUGUCUCCAUGAGCAGGCAUGUGGAAGGACCUGGGCUUACAUCCCAGAAUCACUGGGCAGCAUAAAAGGCUGCCAACACCCUGGUGGAGGUGAAGGACAUAGAACCUACUGUCUAAAUUAGGACACUUGGCAUGGUGACAAUAUAGGACCUGUCUGAGGCCACACUGCUGGAUGGUAGGACAGCAGCAACUCAGUUUCCACCAUCUUCUGACUAAAGUUUCACAGUCUGACCAUAACCCAACCAUGCUGAAGAUUAGGCAUCUUCUCUAGGGACCGCUCUAUACACUGCUGGCCACGUUAAAGAUGGCUCCCCACUCUCAUAACAG
ensembl:antisense Gm12542 predicted gene 12542